rnacentral:rRNA from 1 species
GACGAACGCUGGCGGCGUGCUUAACACAUGCAAGUCGAACGGAAAGGCCCUGCUUUUGUGGGGUGCUCGAGUUGCGAACUGGUGAGUAACACGUGAGUAACCUGCCCUUGACUUUGGGAUAACUUCAGGAAACUGGGUCUAAUACCGGCUAGGAUCUCCUGCUUCAUGGUGGGGGUUGGAAAGUUUCGGCGGUUGGGGAUGGACUCGCGGCUUAUCAGCUUGUUGGUGGGGUAGUGGCUUACCAAGGCUUUGACCGGUAGCCGGCCUGAGAGGGUGACCGGCCACAUUGGGAAUGAGAUACGGGACAGACCCCUACGGGAGGCAGCAGUGGGGAAUAUUGAACAAUGGGCGGAAGCCUGAUGCAGCAACGACGAGUGCGGGAUGACGGACUUCGGGUUGUAAACCGCAUUCGCCUGUGACGAAGCGUGAGUGAGGGUAAUGGGUAAAGAAGCACCGGCUAAAUACGUG